GAGUUUGAUCAUGGCUCAGAUUGAACGCUGGCGGCAUGCCUUACACAUGCAAGUCGAACGGCAGCAUGAUCUAGCUUGCUAGAUUGAUGGCGAGUGGCGAACGGGUGAGUAAUACAUCGGAACGUGCCCUGUAGUGGGGGAUAACUAGUCGAAAGAUUAGCUAAUACCGCAUACGACCUGAGGGUGAAAGUGGGGGACCGCAAGGCCUCAUGCUAUAGGAGCGGCCGAUGUCUGAUUAGCUAGUUGGUGGGGUAAAGGCCCACCAAGGCGACGAUCAGUAGCUGGUCUGAGAGGACGAUCAGCCACACUGGGACUGAGACACGGCCCAGACCUCCGUACGGG
rnacentral:rRNA from 1 species